AAACCACCUGUGUAUUUACCUCCCCCAGGAACACAGCCCCUUCUGGAGGGCUGGGCCUUGCCAUCCUUCUUGCCUCUUCCUCAAAAAGUGUUUUCAGAGAUGAAAUGAAAAUAAAAAUUGAGGAACAUUUUGGGCCGUGGAAAAGAGUAAGUUACAAAGGUGACUUUGGGUAGUGAAAAAAGAUAUUUUUGAAGGCAUCUUGUUUGGACAUGUGCAUAUAUGAGGACUUAGCAUAUAUAUUUAUGGCACACACACAAACACCAGUUCUGCAAUUAGUCUAGAGUAGUUUAUAUUAAGGAAAUUUGCAGAAGACUUUAUUUCUUCUCUCUCUCUUUUUUUUUUUUUGGUUUUUAGGGCCACCCUUGCGGCAUAUGGAGGUUCCCAGGCUAGGGCUGUGGCCACUGGCCUACGCCGCAGCCACAGCAAUGCCAGAUCCGAGCUGCAUCUUCAGUCUACACCACAACGCACUGCAACACCAGAUCCUUAACCACUGAAUGAGGCCAGGAAUCAAACCUGCAUCUUCAUGGAUGCUAGGCAGAUUGGUUUCCGCUGAACCACUACGGGAACUCCGAGAGAAGACUUUUUUUAAAAGGCGAUUUGAAAAGGAAAUCCAUUGCUUUAUUUUUACACUUGGGAAUCGAACUUGGUUAGUCCUUUUCCAGGUUGAAUCAUUGUUUGUUUACAUACAAUAUUUGAUUGCCUAGAACAUUCUAGGGCUUCAACAAUACAAGGACAGAGUGUACCUUGCAUCCCUCCCACAUCUUUGCCAGGGAUGUUUGAUGGACAGGAGGCAGGGACUGGGCUAGGGAGAAGCUAGGACUGUGAAGUUAGACAGAAUUGGAUUUUGAAUCCUGAUUCGACUUGAAGAGUUCCGUCAAUCCUCUUACAUGUAUAAAAUAGUAACAAUAGCUACUGUUUAUUAAGCACCUACCAGUGAGGCACUGGUUAGUUGCUUUAUUUAUGCAUUGCUUAAGAGUUCAGUAUUAAUCCCUUUUGACACAAGACACAGACCAAGUCAUAGACCACAUCACCCAGCAUGAAGUACAAAGCCAGUAAAAUGCUCAGGGAAGUGAAGGCAGGCUUUGCCUUCAGGUGUCCCCAUAGACCUUAGUACUUGCUCUUUAUGUAUUGUGACUUUUUAUAAGAUGUUUGCAUUUUAACAGAAGGCUCUUCUAUACCUGAGUGUCUUACAUACAGAAUGGCUGCCUUUCCGAAGGGAACAAGUUCAGUGGUGGAGGAGAUACUUUAAUGCCUGCCUUCUGGUACUAUAUUCAUUAUCCUGUGAUAAACCGUAAUGGAAAAGGCUAUGAAAAAGAAUACCUGUGUGUGUAUGUGUGUGUGUGUGUGUGUGUAUAUAGGAAUAUAUAUAUAAAAUGGAAUCACAUAUAUAUAAUAUGGAAUUUUAUAUAUAUAUAUAAUGUAUAUAAUGGAAUCCCUUUUCUCUGCAGCAGAAAUUAAUACAACAUUGUAAACCAACUAUAGUUCAAUAAAAUUUUUUAAAAAGAAACUAG
rnacentral:lncRNA from 1 species